UACAGAGGUCUCAAGCGUUGUUCGGAUUCAUUGGGCGUAAAGGGUGCGUAGGCGGCGCGGUAAGUCGGGUGUGAAAUUUCGAGGCUUAACUUCGAAACUGCAUUCGAUACUGCCGUGCUAGAGGACUGGAGAGGAGACUGGAAUUUACGGUGUAGCGGUGAAAUGCGUAGAUAUCGUAAGGAACACCGGUGGCGAAGGCGGGUCUCUGGGCCGAUACUGACGCUGAGGAGCGAAAGCGUGGGGAGCGAACAGG
rnacentral:rRNA from 1 species